rnacentral:rRNA from 2 species
GGGUUGUGAGGUUAAGCGACUAAGCGUACACGGUGGAUGCCCUGGCAGUCAGAGGCGAUGAAGGGCGUGCUAAUCUGCGAUAAGCGCCGGUAAGGUGAUAUGAACCGUUAUAACCGGCGAUACCCGAAUGGGGAAACCCAGUGUGACUCGUCACACUAUCAUUAACUGAAUCCAUAGGUUAAUGAGGCGAACCGGGGGAACUGAAACAUCUAAGUACCCCGAGGAAAAGAAAUCAACCGAGAUUCCCCCAGUAGCGGCGAGCGAACGGGGAGGAGCCCAGAGCCUGAAUCAGCAUGUGUGUUAGUGGAAGCGUCUGGAAAGGCGCGCGAUACAGGGUGACAGCCCCGUACACAAAAGCGCAUGUGCUGUGAGCUCGAUGAGUAGGGCGGGACACGUGGUAUCCUGUCUGAAUAUGGGGGGACCAUCCUCCAAGGCUAAAUACUCCUGACUGACCGAUAGUGAACCAGUACCGUGAGGGAAAGGCGAAAAGAACCCCGGCGAGGGGAGUGAAAAAGAACCUGAAACCGUGUACGUACAAGCAGUGGGAGCACCCUUUGGGGUGUGACUGCGUACCUUUUGUAUAAUGGGUCAGCGACUUAUAUUCUGUAGCAAGGUUAACCGAAUAGGGGAGCCGGAGGGAAACCGAGUCUUAAUUGGGCGUUAAGUUGCAGGGUAUAGACCCGAAACCCGGUGAUCUAGCCAUGGGCAGGUUGAAGGUUGGGUAACACUAACUGGAGGACCGAACCGACUAAUGUUGAAAAAUUAGCGGAUGACCUGUGGCUGGGGGUGAAAGGCCAAUCAAACCGGGAGAUAGCUGGUUCUCCCCGAAAGCUAUUUAGGUAGCGCCUCGUGAAUUCAUCUCCGGGGGUAGAGCACUGUUUCGGCUAGGGGGCCAUCCCGGCUUACCAACCCGAUGCAAACUGCGAAUACCGGAGAAUGUUAUCACGGGAGACACACGGCGGGUGCUAACGUCCGUCGUGAAGAGGGAAACAACCCAGACCGCCAGCUAAGGUCCCAAAGUCAUGGUUAAGUGGGAAACGAUGUGGGAAGGCCCAGACAGCCAGGAUGUUGGCUUAGAAGCAGCCAUCAUUUAAAGAAAGCGUAAUAGCUCACUGGUCGAGUCGGCCUGCGCGGAAGAUGUAACGGGGCUAAACCAUGCACCGAAGCUGCGGCAGCGAACGUAUCACUUAAAGCGAUUCAGCGGGUUACGAUUGACGGAGCGAAGCGACGUCAAAGCGUAUACAAAGUCGAGUCGGUUUAAGGAUACGUUCGUUGGGUAGGGGAGCGUUCUGUAAGCCUGUGAAGGUGGCCUGUGAGGGUUGCUGGAGGUAUCAGAAGUGCGAAUGCUGACAUAAGUAACGAUAAAGCGGGUGAAAAGCCCGCUCGCCGGAAGACCAAGGGUUCCUGUCCAACGUUAAUCGGGGCAGGGUGAGUCGACCCCUAAGGCGAGGCCGAAAGGCGUAGUCGAUGGGAAACAGGUUAAUAUUCCUGUACUUGGUGUUACUGCGAAGGGGGGACGGAGAAGGCUAUGUUGGCCGGGCGACGGUUGUCCCGGUUUAAGCGUGUAGGUGUGUGUUCCAGGUAAAUCCGGUUCACUUUAACACUGAGGCGUGAUGACGAGGCACUACGGUGCUGAAGCAACAAAUGCCCUGCUUCCAGGAAAAGCCUCUAAGCAUCAGGUAACAUCAAAUCGUACCCCAAACCGACACAGGUGGUCAGGUAGAGAAUACCAAGGCGCUUGAGAGAACUCGGGUGAAGGAACUAGGCAAAAUGGUGCCGUAACUUCGGGAGAAGGCACGCUGACACGUAGGUGAAGUGAUUUACUCAUGGAGCUGAAGUCAGUCGAAGAUACCAGCUGGCUGCAACUGUUUAUUAAAAACACAGCACUGUGCAAACACGAAAGUGGACGUAUACGGUGUGACGCCUGCCCGGUGCCGGAAGGUUAAUUGAUGGGGUCAGCGCAAGCGAAGCUCCUGAUCGAAGCCCCGGUAAACGGCGGCCGUAACUAUAACGGUCCUAAGGUAGCGAAAUUCCUUGUCGGGUAAGUUCCGACCUGCACGAAUGGCGUAAUGAUGGCCAGGCUGUCUCCACCCGAGACUCAGUGAAAUUGAACUCGCUGUGAAGAUGCAGUGUACCCGCGGCAAGACGGAAAGACCCCGUGAACCUUUACUAUAGCUUGACACUGAACAUUGAGCCUUGAUGUGUAGGAUAGGUGGGAGGCUUUGAAGCGUGGACGCCAGUCUGCGUGGAGCCGACCUUGAAAUACCACCCUUUAAUGUUUGAUGUUCUAACGUGGACCCGUAAUCCGGGUUGCGGACAGUGUCUGGUGGGUAGUUUGACUGGGGCGGUCUCCUCCUAAAGAGUAACGGAGGAGCACGAAGGUUGGCUAAUCCUGGUCGGACAUCAGGAGGUUAGUGCAAUGGCAUAAGCCAGCUUGACUGCGAGCGUGACGGCGCGAGCAGGUGCGAAAGCAGGUCAUAGUGAUCCGGUGGUUCUGAAUGGAAGGGCCAUCGCUCAACGGAUAAAAGGUACUCCGGGGAUAACAGGCUGAUACCGCCCAAGAGUUCAUAUCGACGGCGGUGUUUGGCACCUCGAUGUCGGCUCAUCACAUCCUGGGGCUGAAGUAGGUCCCAAGGGUAUGGCUGUUCGCCAUUUAAAGUGGUACGCGAGCUGGGUUUAGAACGUCGUGAGACAGUUCGGUCCCUAUCUGCCGUGGGCGCUGGAGAACUGAGGGGGGCUGCUCCUAGUACGAGAGGACCGGAGUGGACGCAUCACUGGUGUUCGGGUUGUCAUGCCAAUGGCACUGCCCGGUAGCUAAAUGCGGAAGAGAUAAGUGCUGAAAGCAUCUAAGCACGAAACUUGCCCCGAGAUGAGUUCUCCCUGAGACUUAGAGUCUCCUGAAGGAACGUUGAAGACGACGACGUUGAUAGGCCGGGUGUGUAAGCGCAGCGAUGCGUUGAGCUAACCGGUACUAAUGAACCGUGAGGCUUAACCUUACAACGCCGAAG